rnacentral:rRNA from 1 species
GAUGAACGCUGGCGGUAGGCCUAACACAUGCAAGUCGAACGGCAGCACAGGAGAGCUUGCUCUCUGGGUGGCGAGUGGCGGACGGGUGAGGAAUACAUCGGAAUCUACCUUUUCGUGGGGGAUAACGUAGGGAAACUUACGCUAAUACCGCAUACGACCUACGGGUGAAGGUGGGGGACCGCAAGGCCUCACGCGAUUAGAUGAGCCGAUGUCCGAUUAGCUAGUUGGAGGGGUAAUGGCCCACCAAGGCGACGAUCGGUAGCUGGUCUGAGAGGAUGAUCAGCCACACUGGAACUGAGACACGGUCCAGACUCCUACGGGAGGCAGCAGUGGGGAAUAUUGGACAAUGGGCGCAAGCCUGAUCCAGCCAUACCGCGUGGGUGAAGAAGGCCUUCGGGUCGUAAAGCCCUUUUGUUGGGAAAGAAAUCCUGUCGAUUAAUACUCGGUGGGGAUGACGGUACCCAAAGAAUAAGCACCGGCUAACUUCGUGCCAGCCGCCGCCGUAAUAC